rnacentral:rRNA from 1 species
AUUGAACGCUGGCGGCAGGCCUAACACAUGCAAGUCGGGCGAGUGGCGGACGGGUGAGUAAUGUCUGGGAAACUGCCUGAUGGAGGGGGAUACCUACUGGAAACGGUAGCUAAUACCGCAUACCAUCAGCUGAGCCCAGAUGGGAUUAGCUUGUAGGUGGGGUAACGGCUCACCAAGGCGACGAUCCCUAGCUGGUCUGAGAGGAUGAACAGCCACACUGGGACUGAGACACGGCCCAGACUCCGACGGGAGGCAGCAGUGGGGAAUAUUGCACAAUGGGCGCAAGCCUGAUGCAGCCAUGCCGCGUGUAUGAAGAAGGCCUUCGGGUUGUAAAGUACUUUCAGUGGGGAGGCGUUACCGACAGAAGAAGCACCGGCUAACUCCGUGCCAGCAGCCGCGGUAAUUC